CUCAAGCCAAGCGGUUUAUUUGUUUCACUGCCUUGCUUUUAUAGUUACAUUUCAGGAACUUGACUAUGCAGCCAAAAAGGGUGUUCAUGUACUCAGCGAACACUCUUCCUUAAACUACGAACGCUGCCCCAGUGUUCUGUGACAAAGGGUCACCUGACCUGUUCUGGUGUUCCAUAAGCAAGUCAUAAAUUGACCACCACUAUCACACAUUCCUGUUUCACACCCCCACACAGCUGUGCUUUGAACUCCUGAUAAAGGCUGGUCAAGACCUGUCAAGAUACUAUUUAUGCUUUUUUUUGCUUCUUGCUAAAGCUCUUAAAGAUACAGUUACAUUCGUUGGGUCAUGCAAUGUUUCGCAAGUUCUCUCCAGAUUUCCCCCUUCUUUGUUUGCCAGUCACGUGAUCAGCGCCGCCAUCACUCUUGCUUCCGUUUUUUGCAAGCUUCUUGUGAUUCUCCAUAGGAACUGCAAGACUAUAAAAAUCAUUAUUAUUACAGCAAGAAUACCAUUACCAACAAAUAUCCAAAUUCUUAAGUUUAGUCCAGAAAACCAUGGUGAAGGGUUUAGCCAUUUUACACUGUCAGCCAAAUCAUCCAUUAGACUUUUUUGGGUAAGAAUUUGUAAUUGUUUCAAUUAUUGUGUUAGACUAUCGCUGAGACUCUCAACUUCAGCAGCAACAUUUACAGAAAAGGCUCCUUGUAUACUUGACUGCAUACCCGGUAAGGUAAAAAAUGUUAAAUUCCCCUUUUUAGCAACUAAAUGCCAUUGUUCCCUGAACUUGUACACAUCCUUCUGAUUCAUUGUUACUAGUAAAGCACAUAGGAGGUAACUCUGUUCGAAACUCAUGUGUAUCAUUAAUCAUCAACCAGUCAUUAAGAUUUGAUAACGGGCCCGAUAGUGGUAGCCAUACCCCACCAGCCCACUGUGUGGUGUUCUUUGAAAUUGGAUGAUCUGGAUCCCACCAAGUAGCAGGCCUAAACAACAGUGGAUCUGCUAUGUGUGCCCAGUAUACAUUACCUUGAACUGGCCAUAAGAUCAUUAGCAGAGUCAUUAAAAACACCUAAUUUCCCCAUUUUACCUUGGAGUUGCUAGCCACUAUGGCUAGAUAUGCCAAAAAGGUAUUAACAGGGUUUGGUUCUGCUCCAAUGUGCUGCAUCAUUUUACUUGCGUCUUCAUCCAGUUUCUUCAGGUCCCCCCAUGUGAUGUUCUGUGCCGUCCGCUUCCUUUUCACCGGUUUCUUCUGAAUUUGCAGGUUGGUUAUCUGAGGCACUGGGUUGUUUACCACUUCUUUCCAACUCAUGGUAUGUCUUCACGUGUUGAGCAGGUAACCACUGAGGACCUAAGGGUAACAAAACACAAACAUACCCUCUCCCCCAGGUUAGCAAUUCCACAGGUCCCUUCCACUGAUUAUAAUCUGGGGGAUUUCGAAACCAUACCUUAGGUUUAUGCAUUAAUCGUGUUCCUGAUACAGAAUGCCGUUCCCUGGCUGUAGAUGCUAAAUGAUCUACAGAACGAUUUAAAAAAUUGAGACUGUAAGUAGCAUUAUCUAAUUGUUCCUGCAGAGGCGUAUUCCCCCUUCUUUGUUUUUCAAGCAUAUGUUUCAAAUUUUUAUGUGCGCUUUCAACAAUAGCUUGGCCAGUAGGAGAAUGUGGAAUGCCAAAACCAUGAUCAACACUCCAGUCCUGAAGAAAUAAUUUUAUUGAAGAAGACUGAUAGGCAGGGUCAUUGUCUGUCUUAAUAGAUUUUGGAACACCUAAAAUGGCAAAAGCAUAUGUCCAAUGACGUUUAACAUCUUUAGCCCUUUCCCCACUAAGGGCAGUGGCUACUAAGAAACCAGAAAAGGUAUCAGCUGGUACAUGUACAUAACGUAAUUGACCAAAAGAUGGAACAUGUGUAUCAUCAGUUUGCCAUCUCAUUAGGAUCCAGGCCUCGAACAUUAACCCCAUUUCCCAAUGGGGAUAACAUUAAUCGUUGGCAAUCAGCAUACGCCCUUAUAAUAUCACGAGCUUGUUGUGGUGUUAAAUUAAAUUCCUUCUGUAGAGCCAAAGCAUUUUGAUGAAAAAAGUUACGAGAUAAUCGAGCAUGUUCAAAACUUUGAGUUAAUAUGGCAGGUAAUGUCAAGGCGUCUGCUCUAGCAUUGCCUUCUACCAGUGGGACAGGUAAUUUAGUAUGCGAACGGAGGUGCAUUAUAAAGAUAAGACGUGUGCUUUGGGAUAUAAUUUGUGACAAUUUUAACAAUAAUUGAAAUAAAGCCUUGUUAGAAACAUCCUUCAAAAAGGAAUCAGGGAUUCUCUGGGAUUAUUCCUGCUACAUAAUAAGAGUCAGCAACAAUAUUCACAUCUUCUUUUGAGAAGAGUUCAAGGGCAUGUGUAGCCACUGCUAAUUUGAUUAGUUGUGUUGAACCUUGUUGUUGAAUAACAGAAUCACAACAAACACCCUCCUCCUGCCAAGUGACUGCCGCUUUAUGUGAUUUUCCUGAGACAUCAAUAAAGACAGUUCUCGCGUUAGGUAAAGGCACAGUUUGAAUGAUAGAUUGCACAGAUAAAGGUAUUUGCUCUAAAAGUGUAUAAAUCUUGUGACUUGGGUUCAUAAACACGAUCUUGUUCAAAUAAUCUGCCAAUGCUGCUUGCAGCGAAAGAGAUUCCCUAAAAAGCACUUGAAAAGAGUCAGUGGACAUAGGUAAGGAAAUAAAAGCUGGAUCACAUCCGCAUAGCUGUUGGAAAUGCAAUAUCGUUUUUUCAGUGACCAUGACUACUGCAUCAGUUCUUGUUGUUACUAUUUUCUUUGGACUAUUUGAUAAAAACACCCAUUCGAGUGUUAUUAAUUGUUUGGUUUGCUCAUCAAAUUGACCAAUUAGCCCAAAAGGCUGAAAAGGAUUAUUGAUUACAUAAAUUCCCGCAGCUAGGUGCAGAACUAUAUGUCCUGCAAAACCUGUUUGUAUUUUUUGUAACACUUAUUGUAGUUCAUAGUUAGCCUCUUUAGUCAAGAGAUGUUGUGAGUUAAGAUCUGCGUCCCCUUUUAAAAUGUCAAACAAAUUGUUCAAUUCAUGUGUGGCAAUUCCUAACCGAGGUCUUAGCCAGUUAAUACUGCCAAGCAACUUUUGAGCAUCAUGUAGGGUCUUAAUUUGUGUAGCUAGAGUUAGCUUUUGAGGAUGAACAAUUUGAUUAAAAAGAUUCCAAUCUAAGUAUUUCCAAGGUUCCUGCCUUUGUACCUUUUUGGGUGCGAUCUGAAGCCCAAAAGUUUUCAAAUGUAAUAACAAAUGUUGUAACGCCUCAUGUAAUAUUAAAGUAUUUUCUGCAGCAAGCAAAAUGUCACCCAUAUAAUGAUAAAUGCAUGCUUGUGGAAAUUUAUUACAAGUGGGCUCAAUUGCCGCAGCUACCACAAUUUGACAUAUAGUUGGGCUGUUUUUCAUACCUUGUGGAAGAACCGUCCACUGUUAUAAUUUCAUAGGUGCCUGAUUAUUAAUUGUUGGUAAAGAAAAGGCAAAAUGUAGACAAUCCUCUGGAUGAAGUGGUAUAGUAAAGAAACAGUCUUUUAAAUCUAUUACAUACAGAGGCCAAUUUGAAGGGAUUAAAGUAAGAUUAAGAACUCCAGUCUGUAUUGCUCCCACAGGUUGCAUAACUGCGUUGACUGCUCUUAAAUCUUGUAAAAGUCUCCAUUUUCCAGAUUUCUUUGGAAUUACAAAAAUGGGAGUAUUCUAUGGGCUUGUUGAGGGAGCAAUAUGACCAGCCUGUAGCUGCUUUUCUAUAAGUCUUUCUUCUUGCUAUAACUUUUCCCCUUUUAGGGGCCACUGGUCAACCCAAAUUGACUGGGCAGUGAGCCAAGUCAGUUUGAGCAGGGGUUUAUGGACCGUGACCCCAGGGUUAAAUUUGUCGCUAAAGCAGCAGUAAGGGUCAUUUGCCAUUGAGACAGUAAAUCUCUUCCCCAUAAAUUACAAGGAACUGACAUCACAUAAGAAGGAAGAGAAGCCUUUCUUCCUUCUGGACCGACAACAGUUAAGGCAAUUAAACUCUGUAAUGGAAUUUGAAUCCCUCCAACAGCCGAUACUGUAGCAAAUGCAAGACCUAUUGGCCAAUCUCGCAGCCAUUCUUUUGAGAGAUAAUGGAAAUGUCUGCACCAGUAUGCAACAAUCCUGUAAAAGAUCAAUCUUUAAUUGUCAGUGUUAACAUGGGCUGUGACUGCGUAACCUUUUGUGCCCAGAGGAUCUGAGGCAUCCCGAUACUACCAAAUCCUUGAUUUCCUCACUCAGUAUUUGAUGCUCGAGGAACAAAAUUAAGAAGUAAAAGUAAUUACGCUAUAUGAUCUCCUUGUAAUAUUUUGCAAGGAGGUGUUGUAGUCCAAGUCAUAAUUUCAAUUUUUCAGUAUAGUUAGAAUCUGUAACUCCAGGCAGGACAAAAAGCCCUGCCUUUGAUACAGAAGAUCGGCCCAAUAUAAGUCCACAAAAUCGCGUGGGCAAAGGUCCAUACACAUUGGUGUUAAUUAAACAGACUUUAGUAUCUAAGAGGGUUGUAUCGGAGGCUGCGGCCAAGUCCAAGCCUGUGCUGCCGCUGGUGCUCACGGGCAAGCCACAGACAUAUUGUUUUCGUGUGUUAGAUUGCAAAUGCAUGAUGGUUGAGGAACAUAAUGAACUUGGCAAACCCUGUUGGGUUGAGGGGCACCGGGUCUUGCGCCCCACCAGGAGUUUCCCGGCAAGGGUCCCCCCUGCGUGUCAAAUUUAGACCAACACUGAUUGCCCUGAUGAAAACUCUUUUUGCAUUGGGGACAUAAAGUUGUUGGUGCUCUCUUGUCUCAUUUAUAUUCUCCCUUGCGCUGUGGACACUCUCUGCAUGUGUCCUUCCUGAUUACAUUGAAAACAUUUUAUAGCUGCUUGUUAUGAGGGUGAUUUAUUCAUUGUUAGAUGUUGCGCUAAAGCUACUGCUAGUACAUUAGCUUUAUGUUCUUCCAAGCCAAUAUCUUGACAUGACUUGAUAUAAUCAACUAAGGUUUUUGCAGUCCCUCUCACAGAGGAUAAAGCCUUUUUACAAUCUGCAUUAGCAUUUUCAAAUGCUAGCUGGAAUACUAAAAUUUGUGCAGCUUCCUCAUUUUCUACUUGGCGAUUGACUGCAGCUUGCAGUCUAUCAGUAAACGCAAUAUACGGCUCAUGUACACCUUGCCAAAUAGCAGCAAAUGGUGAAUCCUGACAUCCUGUUUCAGGCACCUUCCUCAAAGCUCAAACGGAUAAUAGAGGGGCUUGUCGUAAAGCAUCCCUAGGCAGGGUGGCUUGUGCCUGAGGAGUUAAAUAAGGACCUUCCCCUUUUAACUCAUUCAUCCCCAUCCCCAUGUUGUUUGCAUUUGUAGUAUUAUCCAUCGUUUGUAUUAUUACUAAGUCACGAUAUUCUACUGACCAAACUGCAUAUUGGGCUGAUGUAAGAAUCAUUUUUAAUAAUGCCUUCCAAUCAUACGAUGUCACGGUAUAACUUUCUCCUGUUGUUUCCAAUAAACUCCUGGUAUAAGUGUUUUGCAACCGAUAAUCUUUGAUCACCUUUCUCACCUCCUUGAUCAUUUCAUAUUGUAAAGUGGUAUAUUCAGGAGGCAGUUGUGGUUGACAUAAAACAGGCAAUGCAGUUAACAUGGAAACAUCACCGGGUUUUAAAGCUUCCUCAUGGCAGGAGUCCAACAAAGUAGUUACCUUCCCUGGAUUACAGGGAGGUGGUUUACUAAACAAAUCAAUGAGUGGUGGGUCAUUUACUGGUUGUGCCAUAAAUAUAGAGAGAUACCCUGGUGGUGCUGUUGGUGUUAAAAAAGCCUGUCUAGGUUGUAAAAGUGACGCUGCCGUUGGUACCACAGCUGCCAUGGCUUUUACAGGUGUUAAACAUGGAUACAGAUCAGGCUCUGUUUCUGGCUCAGUAGGUCCAGGAUCAAGAGGAUCAAAAUAAGAACUAGAUGGAGAAGGGACAUCAUCAUAUAUACUAUCAUCAUCUUUCUCAUUCUCCAUUUUAGAUCUCAAAAUGGCCUCAGCUGGUUGUAAAGUUUUUAAAAUGGUAUACAGAGUUCUCCAAGUCACAAUUAAUUCCUCCAGAACUUCAAACUAUAACAGUUUCUUUGUUUGUAUUUCCUCUCCCACCUUUGACCAAAUUUGACUAUCGUAAGUUCCUGUAACAGGAAACCAAGUGCAAUGGGUCUUACCCACAUUAACAAAGAGGCCAGUUUUACUGGUGUUACCUUAAAUCCCUGUCCUUUUAAAAUUUGCUCUAAAACUUCAAUAUGCAAUUUAUGCUCUUGUGGUGUUGCUUGCCCCAUGCCAUAACUGCAUUACUUACCUAUACAACAGGAAGAACUGUGCACGCGUCUUAGGAUUCUGAAGUCAGAAUUUGCUGUCCUUCUUUAGUUCGGUUACGGAGCUGCCACCGGUAUUGUUAAGAGCCCUGUUCGGGUGCCAUUUGUGGUGGACUGAAAGACACGGACUCAGCGUAUGCUCAAGCCAAGC
rnacentral:lncRNA from 1 species